CAGAAAGCACAAAGCUGCCUGCCUGUAUUGGCAUUUUCUUUAAACUGAGCUGAUUGAGGUAAACAGUGGGCUCUCUGCUAAGUUCCCUCUGCCAGACUGGAAAGACACAAAAAGAAAUGCGUCUCCUACUAGGUGUCAGGACGCUUAGUGUGCCCUGUGCUUGCUGGUGGGUUCUGCCUCCUGCUCUUGCCUACUCCUGACAAACUGUGUGGCUGCAGCACAUCCAUCAAGUACCUCGGGUUAAAGGAGAUGGGAAAAGCUGGUGUAUUGCAUGACCUUACUCUGUCACAUAGAAGUUGAGUGUUCCUGUUUGAGUUAGUGAGAAUGAUUUUAAAUUAAUAUUUUUCUAUUGCUAAACCAAAGAAAAAAAAAGUUUGAAGCCUGUUUUGUUAAAUAGACUGAAACCGAGUUGCUUCAAAGGGACUGCAAGGGAAGAAGCCGGCAUGGCAUUUACAGUAUAUGAAUAUGGGGGGCCUCAGACAGCUCUCCUGCUGUUCGUUGCAUGAUCACUCACCUGAUGAAUAACAGUCAUACAGCAUUUGGCCAUGAAGUACGUAAAUAAAAAACAGACCCAAGCGUCUUCUGCGGGUUUAAAAGCAGAACAGGGCCAGAAGUAAGGCAAAAAGGUGCUCAUCAACAGACAGCUUGCCCUGGUGACCUGCAAGAUUGUAGAAACUUUGAUGGAAGUCUCCACCGUCCCCUUGAGCUGUGCUGGAAAUGAUGUGACAGUAGAAGGAACUACACCAGGUUACUGAAGACUGCUGUGAACCAAGAACACCACUGUCAGAGCUCCACCUCUGUGUCAAGACAGCUGACCACAAGUGGGUGGAGAUGAUGAAAGAAGAGCUUCUACUGUGUUGUCCUCCUGGUGAGGCUGCCUUUGUGAGAUGGAUUGUGCAUUCUGAAUGAUUUCAAUGGCUUCCGUGUGAUUCAUCUGUCUCAAAGCAGCACUCAGCUCUUCAAUUGUACCACCAGAAACCUAAGAGAGAUGAUGACAGCAAACGCUCAGCACCACCCAGGCCAGCUAAAACCAAAGGGCCACACUGUUGCACCAUGCAGGAAGAUGACACUCAGCACACAGCAGUAUGUUCCUUAUAAGCUGUAACAGCCACAUUACCUCAUAGUUAUCUAGCAGAGUCCUUGAUGGGGAAGGGCACAACCUGAAGGCGUUACAAAGUAUGCCAAGACCCAGCUUUUGUGCUAGAGUAAACCAGUUUUUGCUUGGGUCACAUAUUUCCAAUACUUUGCAAAGCUGCAUCUUGACGCUUUCAUUCAGCUCUCUUAUAUGUCCUGGGGAACAGAGAAAUACGUUUAUUAUUUAUACGAAUCAUGCACCAGUUCAUUUCUAAGCAGAAACAAAGGCAAAUUAAAGAGUAUCUGUUUUAGUGUCCGUUGGUGUUUAUUAAGAUAUUGGUGUAAUCUUGAAAAUUUACUACCUUGUGUCCUUGUGACCUACCUCUUUUCAGAAUCGUGCUCCUUCUAAGGAUGUGUGUGUGGGGAAGGGUAUCCCUCUUCUCCCUCCCCAGCUCACUUAGAAGGAAGGGUGGGGUUAUUUCUUCUGCAAAUAUGCUUUCACUACUCAGCUGUUAAUUACGUGAGGGAUAUUGUUAAGUUAUCUUUACAGAUGAUACCUUGUGUCAGUAAGUCCUUUGAAACUGCUGCUUCUGGUUUGUAAGGCUUGUCAUUUAAUAUGUCGUACACCUAAGAGAAUACAUUAAAGUCAGUAUUUAGCAAAA